rnacentral:rRNA from 1 species
ACUCCUGCGGGAGGCAGCAGUGGGGAAUAUUGGACAAUGGGCGCAAGCCUGAUCCAGCCAUGCCGCGUGAGUGAUGAAGGCCCUAGGGUUGUAAAGCUCUUUCACCGGUGAAGAUAAUGACGGUAACCGGAGAAGAAGCCCCGGCUAACUUCGUGCCAGCAGCCGCGGUAAUACGAAGGGGGCUAGCGUUGUUCGGAUUUACUGGGCGUAAAGCGCACGUAGGCGGACUAUUAAGUCAGGGGUGAAAUCCCGGGGCUCAACCCCGGAACUGCCUUUGAUACUGGUAGUCUUGAGUUCGAGAGAGGUGAGUGGAAUUCCGAGUGUAGAGGUGAAAUUCGUAGAUAUUCGGAGGAACACCAGUGGCGAAGGCGGCUCACUGGCUCGAUACUGACGCUGAGGUGCGAAAGCGUGGGGAGCAAACAGGAGUAGAUACCCGGGUAGUCCCAUGAU